rnacentral:lncRNA from 1 species
GUGGGGAGCGUCUGAGUCCCUGGGUUAGGGCUCAGGGCUUGUAAACAUUGACCACUCUCAGAGGGGAUGGGGUGGGAGAGGGCUCCCCCUACACUUCCUCACAGGGUUAAGGCCUCUCCAGGCUCAUGGGCCCCCAAGUUCAAAGUCUCUUUAGCUGGGGGAAGGGGUAGGAAGAGACAAGUGUUCCCCUCCCCCUGCAUUGGCUGUGGCAGGGGCAGGGUAGGUUACAUUCAGUCACAACAGGAGUCUCUCCCACCCCUCCAAUGCCACCACAGUGGCAAGAGGGAAGGGGAGCUGGGGGGCCAGCAGCAGCAAGACAUUUCCCCCUGGCCCAUCACCCCCUUAUUGCUUUAGAGAGAAUAUUGUCUUUUCACAGACGCUAACACUGUCAAAGCCAGGGAGAAGCAGGUGGAGGGGACUUCCACCCAGAGCCAGCCUGAUCCCCAACACUGACCCAGUUGCCACUUUGGUGCAAAAAAAAAAAAAUUUUAAAAAAAAUUAAAAAAAAAGGAAAAAGAAAAAAAAAAGUUGAAAGGAAAACAGAAGGUCACCUCUCUGGGGAUGGAUGGGAAAGAAACCUGGGGCCACUCCCCACUUCCCCAGGGCAGAAAAGAGAAAUACAUUCAUGGAGGAGGCAGUGACAGGCUCGCCCUAAUACUGCAUUCUGAGCAAUGAGGCCGAUGGGAGAGCUCACUAACACAGUACAUUAAAACGAAAAGGGG